AGGAUAAUAGUUUAAAUAAAACAUUAAUAUUGCAAAUUAAAAAUUAAUUUUUAAUUAUUAUCUUA
rnacentral:tRNA from 1 species